GGGAGCCCCGAGAUGGGUACUGAGACACCGACCCAGACCUUACGAGGUGCAGCAGGCGCGAGACCUCCGCAAUACACGAAAGUGUGACGGGGUUACCCAAAGUGUUCAGUNNNGAACUGUGAUAGGUGAGUAAUGUCCCCUAUUAGAAAGGAGGGGGCAAGGCUGGUGCCAGCCGCCGCGGUAAAACCAGCUCUUCAAGUGGUCGGGAUGAUUAUUGGGCUUAAAGUGUCCGUAGCCGGUUUAGUAAGUUCCUGGUAAAAUCAGGUAGCUUAACUAUCUGUAUGCUAGGAAUACUACUAUACUAGAGGGCGGGAGAGGUCUGAGGUACUAUAGGGGUAGGGGUGAAAUCUUAUAAUCCUUGUAGGACCACCAGUGGCGAAGGCGUCAGACUGGAACGCGCCUGACAGUGAGGGACGAAAGCCAGGGGAGCGAACCGGAUUAGAUACCCGGGUAGUCCUGGCCGUAAACGAUGCAUACUAGGUGAUGGCACGGUCAUGAGCCGUGUCAGUGCCGUAGGGAAACCGUUAAGUGUGCCGCCUGGG
rnacentral:rRNA from 1 species